ACGGGGGGGGUAAGCGUUGUUCGGAAUUACUGGGCGUAAAGGGCUCGUAGGCGGCCAACUAAGUCGGACGUGAAAUCCCUCAGCUUAACUGGGGAACUGCGUCCGAUACUGGAUGGCUUGGAUUUGGGAGAGGGAUGCGGAAUUCCAGGUGUAGCGGUGAAAUGCGUAGAGAUCCGGAGGAACCCCUGAGGCGAAGGCGGCGUCCUGGCGCACUUCUGACGUUCAGACACGACAGCAUGGGGAGCGAACGGGA
rnacentral:rRNA from 1 species